UCGGCCUGACCCGGGACGUCACGCCGCCUGUCUGUUUUCUCAAUGAUAACUUGGCAGCGGCAGGGGGAAGCGGCCGGGUUAUGUAUUUUAUUUUAUUUUAUUUCCCCUGGGCUCGGUACCGGGUUGACGCUGGGCGCCGGGCGAGCCGCGCUGGUCACCGCCUGGUCCCACCUGGAGGAGGGAAGCACACGCAAAAAGGAAAAAAAAAAAGAAAAAAAAAGAAAGAAAGAAAGAAAGAAAAAAAAAAUCACGGAAACAGGCGGGGGGGAGGAAGGGGGAUGGGAGGGGGGUGCCACCCGGAUGCGGCGGAUGGGACAGCGCGCCACGCGCAGAGCAGGGCACCGCCAUGUCCUGCAGGGAGUGGGACGGGGGAAAAGACACCCCGUAUCAUGAGGGGACGCGGGGGACGUGGGGAACGCAGGCCCGUACGGGCUGCCUGUGGGCUGUUGUGUGGAGGAGGGCAGGUGCUGGGCCGAGCUGGGUGGUGGGUGACCAGUGUGUGGUGACGAGGCCUGCAGCCACCAGGUCAAUCUGUGUGACUGGGUGUUUUUGAGAGCAGGGGUAGGAGUUGGCACUGGGCUUGGCUCGCUUUCCUUGGCAUUUGUGCUCCUAAAAGGAAGACCAUAGAAUUGUUGAGAUUGGAAAAGGCCAUUAAGAUCGUCUAGACCAACCAUCAACCAAUCAUCACCAUGCCUGCUAACCCGUGUCCCUCAGUCUUUGUGCCAAGCAGAAAGAUCUUCAAGCAUUAUUCUGUCUCAAUCUGUACCACACACCUCCCUGCAAAGAGAGGUGACUCUGACCUGAAUUACAAACUUUAACCUCAAAAUAAGGGGGGGAAAGAGGAGGAAAGAAGGAAAAAAAAAAAAAAAAAAAAAGUAAGCUCAAGUAGUAAACCAAAUAAAUUUUAAAAAGAAACAUAAAUAUUAAAGCUAGAUGGUACAAACUACUAACCUUUAAAUACUGACAUGGGAAAAGCCAGUAAGAGCUAUGAAAAUAUGAAGAAUAAAACCUUACUUUUUGUAAAAGGCAGAGGUAUCCAAGGAUCUUUCUAUGUGUAGGUGAAGUCACCCUGCUAUCCCAUGUAUCAUUCAACCAUGCUGCAAACACAGUUCUCAUUCUUAAGCUCCAGUUGUGAUUAUGAGCUUGGCUUUACUCUGCUGUGCUGGGUCUUGGCUGAAGGAUACAGGAAAUGGAUUUCACGUAUGUCUCCUUCAUGCUAAGUCUGCUUAUUUAAGUACAAAGCUUUCUGAUAAGAAAGUAAGCAUUGAAUGAAGAAGAUAAAAACACAGAUAAACGUGAUAAAAAAAACAAGCUCUUGAAUCCUGUUGUAGUGUAACAUUGGCCAUGGGCCUAGUCUUGAUAGUAAGGCUGAAAGUGGACUGAGAUUGAAGGCAAGGAGGGCUUGGGGACCAUGCAGGAGCAUAUCUAAAAUCAUUAUUGUGUCAACAGCUGGAUUAGAUUGCUUUACACUGCUGCCACUAGGAGUACUCUCUAAAAGCAGGAGCCACCUGCAGUGAGAGGAUGUCCAGGAUCUGCCCUGCUCCUACUGGGACAGGGGACUGCUGAUCCAGCAAGGAACAGGUCUGUGAAAUCAAGAGGUCUCGGAGAAAACAACACAAGAGAAAAAAGAGGAAACCUCAGCACAUGGCCAAUGCAGAGAAAUGAAGGAUCCUCUCUGGGAAUUGGUUAGUAGCGCUGAUGUUUAAUAUUUGUCAUAACAACCACUGACUGUUUUGUUUUUUGUUCUAACAAUGUGAAUUAUGCAUUAAACAUUAAUACAA